rnacentral:lncRNA from 1 species
AACCCUUGAGCAAUGACAAGUACCUGCCAAACACUGUUGUGAAAACCUCUCUCCUGGGAAAACAAAAGUCAUGACAUUUUGAGCACAAUUGUGUGUGGGAUGCAUUCAUCAAUAGAGCUGGAAGCACCAACCACCAUAGGAGAGGAAACUUUUAGUUACAAGCACAUGAAUAAAUAAAAUCAAACUCAACUGGAAUGACGUUCCUGAGGAUGGAGAUACAUUUUUUUGUUGACCCAUCUAAACUUGAACAGCAAGUGAUAAUCAGUCUCCAAUCAGAAAGUCCCAGGACUUAUAGGAGCAGAAAUCAGAAGACUUUACUCCACACACUUCAGGUGGACAUGUGGACAAAGCCAUCGGAGAACAUGACAAAAAUACAGCAAGAGCAGAGACAAGAUCAGAUCAUCCUGGGGGCAGAUGCUGGGCUCUGACCAAUUUGAGAGAGAAAAGGAAAAAGAACCCAGCUACAAGAUGCACAAGUAGCAGGCCACAGCCACCAACAUCAGCAGAGCAAUUGGAGGCCAGGAAGACAAGGACACUUCUGAAGAGACUGAAAAAAGCAGAAGACAGUCCAAGUCACUGCAAGGUUCCAAGGUCUCUUUUUUCAUUACUGUUACAAGUACCAAGUAAGCCAAAAUCCACCCUACUCUUCAAAACCAUCUUGAAGAGUUGCAGGUCAGGGUUGCUGCAUCUGAGCAUGUUUACUCACAAAAGGUGACAGAUGCUCCUCAACUUACAAUGAGAUUACAUCCUGAUAAAUGUGUCAUAAGUUGAAAGUAUCUUAUAAGUCGAAAAUGCAUUUACUACAGCCUAACCCACUGAACAUUGUAGCUUAGGCUAGCCUACCUUAAAACGUGAUCAGGACACUUCCCUCAGCCUACAUUUGGGCAAAAUCACCUAACACGAAGCCUAUUUUAUAAUAGAGCAUUGAAUAGCUCAAAUAAUUUAUUGAAUACUGUACAUUACAUAGAAUUUGUGACAGUUUUACACCAUCAUUAUGUCAAAAAAUCAUUAAGUUGAGCCACCAUAACUCAGGGACUGUCUGUAUUUAUAUUUUUACUUCACACUAAGCUUUGAAACUGAAAUUUUUGCUCCUCAGCAGAUGGGGUUUCUGAGAAAGACCAAAUUAGUUAUAGAGCACUAGCUCCCAAAAAAAAAAAAAAAAAAAAACAGAAGAAGUCAGAGGAGGAGGGCAACAUGGAGCAGAGGAAGAAGGAGAGAAAAAGCAAGAAACCAUUAUCGCUCCCUCAUCUGAACUGCACUGCGAGUAAGCUGGGGCUUCCACCACAGUGUCCUGGAAGCCAUGUUUGCUGCCCAUUUCUGGACUCUCCAGCCACACUGGCCUCCUUUCCCUUUCUCAAACCUGCUGUGGUUCCUGCCACUUCAAGAUAAUCUCUUAACAAUCUAUUCCUUCUGCCUGGAAUGCUCUUCCUCCCACCCAACCCCGCUCUGCCCAGCUAACUCCAUUCUUUGGCCCCUGCAUCACUUUCCCAAGGAAGCCAUUUCUGGACUUCCCUGACCCCUGCCUUCCAUCUUCACUGGCCCAGAGUUCCCUACCCUAUGGUCUCAUUGCUCCCUCCCAGGCACUGCUGCCUCCCAGGACUCUUCCCUGUCGGUAAUAUAGUUCUGUUUGAUUGUUCAGUUAAUUUUGCCUCCCCUGAAGACCAUAAGCCAUGUUGGCAAUGAUGGUUUUGCUCACCAUUGCACCUCCAGUGUCUAAAAACCAUGGGCAGGUCAAUUCAUUUUUGUUGAGUAAAGGAAUUGUUCAAUAAGUGCACAAAUAAAUUCACAUUAAAACUUGUCC